UACAGAGGUCCCAAGCGUUGUUCGGAUUCACUGGGCGUAAAGGGUGCGCAGGUGGCUGGGUAAGUUUGAUGUGAAAGCCCCGGGCUUAACCCGGGAAUGGCAUUGAAUACUAUUCGGCUGGAGGAUUGGAGGGGGACUGGAAUUCUUGGUGUAGCAGUGAAAUGCGUAGAUAUCAAGAGGAACACCAGUGGCGAAGGCGAGUCCCUGGACAAUUCCUGACACUGAGGCACGAAAGCCAAGGGAGCAAACAGG
rnacentral:rRNA from 1 species